UACGUAGGGUGCGAGCGUUGUCCGGAAUUAUUGGGCGUAAAGGGCUCGUAGGCGGUUUGUCACGUCGGGAGUGAAAACUCAGGGCUUAACCCUGAGCCUGCUUCCGAUACAGGCAGACUAGAGGUAUGCAGGGGAGAACGGAAUUCCUGGUGUAGCGGUGAAAUGCGCAGAUAUCAGGAGGAACACCGGUGGCGAAGGCGGUUCUCUGGGCAUUACCUGACGCUGAGGAGCGAAAGUGUGGGGAGCGAACAGG
rnacentral:rRNA from 1 species